GAUGAAGAACGUAGCGAAAUGCGAUAAGUAGUGUGAAUUGCAGAAUUCAGUGAAUCAUCGAAUCUUUGAACGCACAUUGUGCCCCUUGGUAUCCCGAGGGGCAUGCCUGUUCGAGCGUCAUUUCACCACUCAAGCCUGGCUUGGUGUUGGGCGACGUCCCCUUUAGGGACGCGCCUCGAAACGCUCGGCGGCGUGGCACCGGCUUUAAGCGUAGCAGAAUCUUUCGCUUUGGAAGUCGGGGCCCCGCCUGCCGGAAUACCUACUCGUAAGGUUGACCUCGGAUCAGGCAGGGAUACCCGCUGAACUUAAGCAUAUCAAUAAGCGGAGGA
rnacentral:misc_RNA from 1 species